CUAAAUACUCCUGACUGACCGAUAGUGAACCAGUACCGUGAGGGAAAGGCGAAAAGAACCCCGGCGAGGGGAGUGAAAAAGAACCUGAAACCGUGUACGUACAAGCAGUGGGAGCCCCACCACUAAGCCAGUGGUGAACUCCACAUACGCAUCCUUUGCUGAAGGCAAUGGUUAACGGAGCGAAAGCGACGUUCAACCGCAAAAGAAGCAGAGGGGGCUUAGUGGUGGGGUGACUGCGUACCUUUUGUAUAAUGGGUCAGCGACUUAUAUUCUGUAGCAAGGUUAACCGAAUAGGGGAGCCGUAGGGAAACCGAGUCUUAACCGGGCGUUAAGUUGCAGGGUAUAGACCCGAAACCCGGUGAUCUAGCCAUGGGCAGGUUGAAGGUUGGGUAACACUAACUGGAGGACCGAACCGACUAAUGUUGAAAAAUUAGCGGAUGACCUGUGGCUGGGGGUGAAAGGCCAAUCAAACCGGGAGAUAGCUGGUUCUCCCCGAAAGCUAUUUAGGUAGCGCCUCGUGAAUUCAUCUCCGGGGGUAGAGCACUGUUUCGGCUAGGGGGCCAUCCCGGCUUACCAACCCGAUGCAAACUGCGAAUACCGGAGAAUGUUAUCACGGGAGACACACGGCGGGUGCUAACGUCCGUCGUGAAGAGGGAAACAACCCAGACCGCCAGCUAAGGUCCCAAAGUCAUGGUUAAGUGGGAAACGAUGUGGGAAGGCCCAGACAGCCAGGAUGUUGGCUUAGAAGCAGCCAUCAUUUAAAGAAAGCGUAAUAGCUCACUGGUCGAGUCGGCCUGCGCGGAAGAUGUAACGGGGCUAAACCAU
rnacentral:rRNA from 1 species